GCGCAUAGUCCUUCAGUCAACGCUUUACAGCUUAAGCGUCAGCAUGCUGAUGUCGAAUCCUCUAUCGAUAGCCCGUUUGGGAUUUUAUUUGAGUAUUUUGGCCUUGGUGUCGGGUGCGUGCAGGCCCGACGGUGAACUGUGCAUGUACAGCCGGCAAUGCUGUUCUUCAUAUUGCCCCGUCGAGACCAACAGUUGUUCCUAAAGAGAUGUCGCUCAAUACAAUACAGAGCUAAUUAAAUAAAAUAAAGUAUCGCUUAUCCGAAUGUAAAAUACAAA